GAAUUUUGGACAAUGGGGGCAACCCUGAUCCAGCCAUGCCGCGUGUGUGAAGAAGGCCUUCGGGUUGUAAAGCACUUUCAGCGAGGAGGAAGGGUGUUGUGUUAAUAGCACAGCAUUUUGACGGUACUCGCAGAAGAAGACCCGGCUACCUACGUGCCAGCAGCCGCGGUAAUACGUAGGGUGCAGGCGUUAAUCGGAAUUACUGGGAGUAAAGCGUGCGCAGGCGGCUUCCUAAGUCAGAUGUGAAAUCCCCGGGCUCAACCUGGGAACUGCGUUUGAAACUGGGAGGCGCGAGUGCGGCAGAGGGGGGUGGAAUUCCACGUGUAGCAGUGAAAUGCGUAGAUAUGUGGAGGAACACCGAUGGCGAAGGCAGCCCCCUGGGCCAGCACUGACGCUCAUGCACGAAAGCGUGGGGAGCAAACAG
rnacentral:rRNA from 1 species